rnacentral:tRNA from 1 species
AUCUGGGUGGCUCAGUGGUUGAGCAUCUGCCUUCAGUUCAGGUCAUGAUCUCGGGGUCGUGGGAUCAAGUCCCACCUGAGGCU